CACCGCGGUUAUACGAGGGACCCAAGUUGAUAGAUAUCGGCGUAAAGAGUGGUUAAGAUUCUUAUCCUAAACUAAAGCCGAACACCUUCAGAGCUGUUAUACGCAUCCGAAGGUAAGAAGCCCAACCACGAAAGUGGCUUUAUUAUGUCUGAUCCCACGAAAGCUAUGGCA
rnacentral:rRNA from 1 species